UGUAAAGCAACCCAGUUUUAUUUUGGUUUCAGAGGCCACCCGGAGCAUGGCUUCACUCUGCAGGGUGUAAAAACCUUCCCUCCCCGAGGCCAGAGGACCAGGGAAGGUAGGGGUACAGGGAGAUGGCUCCCUAGACCCAAUUCGAUUAAUAGGCUGCACGAGAUAGAAGGUAGAGGCCUGCAAUGGCUCAGAUUGGGGGAAAGGGGCGGAAAGAGGGCACAGAAUUCAAGAACAUGGAAUCCACAGGCUGGUUCAGUUCCCUCCAUUAGAACGCUGAGGCUUGGGUACGAGAAGCAAGACCCAACCGUCAUCCGGCAGGAGGCAGGGCCUGGAGGCAAGGCAGGUGUCCACAGCUGGAGCCGUCUCGGCGCAAAAACCCGGCGCCUCCACCCUCACGGAGGGUGUGUGCAGGCCGGGCCACCGGGCGCAGUCCGGCGUCUCUCGGUGGUGGCGUUCAACAGCUCACCGAGCCGGCGGCCGGCACUGACCCCAGGUCCGAGAAGCAAUCGAACUCGCUUUGGCCAAGGAAGAGCUCGGGCAGCUCGCGAACACGGUGCAGCCCGAGCUCGAGUUCCAGCGACGUCAGCGCCUCCUCGUCGAUGAGCUCCGCGUCCAUGCAGCCCAGGGCGGGCGGCAGCGGCGGCGGCGGCGGCAGCGGCAGCGGGGACGCGGCUCCCGGAGCGGGCUGCAGAGGUGAGGGCCCUCCCGCGGCUGACGGGGGCGCCGGCAUGCGGCCCGGGGACGGCGUAGCUGCAGACUGAAGGUGCGCGUUACCGGCGCCCGGCGGCUGCGAGACGGGGAAGGGCUGGAAGGAGACAGGCGAUCCGAAAGAGCCGUAUGCCAAGGUCCCGGAUGGCGGCGGCGGUCCCAGCGGAGCCCCCCGCGGCCGC
rnacentral:lncRNA from 1 species